AUGGCGUCCAAGCAGAUGCUCGUCGCCAUGUUCGCCGCGGCCGCCCUGGCCGUGGCCUUCCUCCCGGGCCUCGCCGUCGCCACGGAGCACAUGGUCGGCGACGAUAAGGGCUGGACCCUCAAUUUCAACUACACCGCCUGGGCCGACACCAAACAGUUCGUCGUCGGCGACACGCUAGUGUUCAAGUACAACAGCCCCGCCCACAAUCUGGUGGAGGUGGGCGGGCCGGACUUCCUCUCGUGCACCAAGCCGGCCAACGCCGUCGUCUUAACCACCGGCGAGGACCGGGUCACCCUCGACAAGGCCGGACGCAAGUGGUUCUUCUGCGCCGUCGGCCAGCACUGCCAGAACGGCAUGAAGCUCAAGAUCACCAUCCUCGAGACCGCCCCGCCGACUCCCCAGCCAGCCCCGACCAACCCUGCUGGCAAGCUGCAGGCGCGCUUCGGUGAGGCAGCGGCCGCGAUCACUGCGGUCGCCAUGGCCGUGCUCGUGCUCUAG
rnacentral:rRNA from 1 species